GAUGAACGCUGGCGGCGUGCCUAAUACAUGCAAGUCGAGCGAACAGAUAAGGAGCUUGCUCCUUUGACGUUAGCGGCGGACGGGUGAGUAACACGUGGGUAACCUACCUAUAAGACUGGAAUAACUCCGGGAAACCGGGGCUAAUGCCGGAUAACAUUUAGAACCGCAUGGUUCUAAAGUGAAAGAUGGUUUUGCUAUCACUUAUAGAUGGACCCGCGCCGUAUUAGCUAGUUGGUAAGGUAACGGCUUACCAAGGCAACGAUACGUAGCCGACCUGAGAGGGUGAUCGGCCACACUGGAACUGAGACACGGUCCAGACCCCUACGGGAGGCAGCAGUAGGGAAUCUUCCGCAAAGGGCGAAAGCCUGACGGAGCAACGCCGCGUGAGUGAUGAAGGUCUUCGGAUCGUAAAACUCUGUUAUUAGGGAAGAACAAAUGUGUAAGUAACUGUGCACGUCUUGACGGUACCUAAUCAGAAAGCCACGGCUAACUACGUG
rnacentral:rRNA from 1 species